UUUCUUCUGCAUUGUGCCCCGUCCCCUGUCACCACUUCGGACGCUCGGCGACGAUAACGACUACAACACGAAAGAAGAGACCUCCGGCGCCUUGUUUUUUGUUGUUGUCAUUCUCAAGUAGUAGCAAUGCUUCCAUGCUUGAACGAAU
ensembl:ncRNA R03E9.6 ncRNA